CCUACGGGGGGCAGCAGUGGGGAAUAUUGCACAAUGGGGGAAACCCUGAUGCAGCAACGCCGCGUGAGUGAGGAAGUAUUUCGGUAUGUAAAGCUCUAUCAGCAGGGAAUAGAAAAGAAGGUACCUGAAAAAGAAGCCCCGGCUAACUACGUGCCAGCAGCCGCGGUAAUACGUAGGGGGCAAGCGUUAUCCGGAUUUACUGGGUGUAAAGGGGGCGCAGACGGCGAUGCAAGCCAGGAGUGAAAGCCCGGGGCCCAACCCCGGGACUGCUCUUGGAACUGCGUGGCUGGAGUGCAGGAGGGGCA
rnacentral:rRNA from 1 species